GAUGAAGAACGUAGCGAAAUGCGAUAAGUAAUGUGAAUUGCAGAAUUCAGUGAAUCAUCGAAUCUUUGAACGCACAUUGCGCCCCUUGGUAUUCCGAGGGGCAUGCCUGUUCGAGCGUCAUUAUAACCCCUCAAGCUCAGCUUGGUGUUGGGGCCUGCUGCACUGGCAGCCCUUAAAAUCAGUGGCGGCGCCAUCUGGCUCUAAGCGUAGUAAUUCUUCUCGCUAUGGAGUCAUGGUGGAUGCUUGCCAUCAACCCCCAAUUUUUCUAUGGUUGACCUCGGAUCAGGUAGGGAUACCCGCUGAACUUAAGCAUGUCAAUAAGCGGAGGA
rnacentral:misc_RNA from 1 species